AUUGAACGCUGGCGGCAUGCCUUACACAUGCAAGUCGAACGGUAACAGGUCUUCGGAUGCUGACGAGUGGCGAACGGGUGAGUAAUACAUCGGAACGUGCCCGAUCGUGGGGGAUAACGAGGCGAAAGCUUUGCUAAUACCGCAUACGAUCUACGGAUGAAAGCGGGGGAUCUUCGGACCUCGCGCGGACGGAGCGGCCGAUGGCAGAUUAGGUAGUUGGUGGGAUAAAAGCUUACCAAGCCGACGAUCUGUAGCUGGUCUGAGAGGAUGAUCAGCCACACUGGGACUGAGACACGGCCCAGACUCCUACGGGAGGCAGCAGUGGGGAAUUUUGGACAAAGGGCGAAAGCCUGAUCCAGCCAUGCCGCGUGCAGGAUGAAGGCCUUUGGGUUGUAAACUGCUUUUGUACGGAACGAAAAGCCUCUUUCUAAUAAAGAGGGGUCAUGACGGUACCGUAAGAAUAAGCACCGGCUAACUACGUG
rnacentral:rRNA from 1 species